rnacentral:rRNA from 1 species
AACGAACGCUGGCGGCAGGCCUAACACAUGCAAGUCGAGCGCGCCCUUCGGGGUGAGCGGCGGACGGGUGAGUAACGCGUGGGAACGUGCCCUUCUCUGCGGAAUAGCCUCGGGAAACUGAGAGUAAUACCGCAUACGCCCUUUGGGGGAAAGAUUUAUCGGAGAAGGAUCGGCCCGCGUUGGAUUAGGUAGUUGGUGGGGUAAUGGCCCACCAAGCCGACAAUCCAUAGCUGGUUUGAGAGGAUGAUCAGCCACACUGGGACUGAGACACGGCCCAGACUCCUACGGGAGGCAGCAGUGGGGAAUCUUAGACAAUGGGGGCAACCCUGAUCUAGCCAUGCCGCGUGAGUGAUGAAGGCCUUAGGGUUGUAAAGCUCUUUCAGCUGGGAAGAUAAUGACGGUACCAGCAGAAGAAGCCCCGGCUAACUCCGUG